rnacentral:rRNA from 1 species
UUGGAGGGCAAGUCUGGUGCCAGCAGCCGCGGUAAUUCCAGCUCCAAUAGCGUAUAUUAAAGUUGUUGCAGUUAAAAAGCUCGUAGUUGAAUUUCGGGAUCAAUUUGUUGGUCGUGCCUCGGUACGUACUGGCAUUAUUGGUUUCUACCUUCUGAAGAACCUUGAUGUCAUUAGUUUGGUGUCUUGGGGAAUCAGGACUGUUACUUUGAAAAAAUUAGAGUGUUUAAAGCAGGCAUACGCUUGAAUACAUUAGCAUGGAAUGAUGAAAUAGGACGUUUGAUUCUAUUUUGUUGGUUUCUAGGAUCGACGUAAUGAUUAAUAGGGAUAGUUGGGGGCAUUAGUAUUCAAUUGUCAGAGGUGAAAUUCUUGGAUUUAUUGAAGAUUAACUACUGCGAAAGCAUUUGCCAAGGAUGUUUUCAUUAAUCAAGAACGAAAGUUAGGGGAUCGAAGACGAUCAGAUACCGUCGUAGUCUUAACCAUAAACUAUGCCGACUAGGGAUCGGAUGAUGUUAUUUUUAAUGACUCAUUCGGCGCCUUACGGGAAAC